rnacentral:tRNA from 1 species
UAUACCUUAGUAUAGGAUGUACUAAGGCUUUUGGAGCCUCAAGAAACAGUUUAAUUCUGUUAGGUAUAG